rnacentral:rRNA from 1 species
UAAACGCUGGCGGCGUGCCUUAUGCAUGCAAGUCGUACGGUAUUGAUAAAUCAGGCUUUCCUGGGAUAUCAAGAGAGUGGCAGACGGGUGAGUAACACGUAAGUAAUCUGCCCCUAAGUAAGGGAUAACCCUGAGAAAUCGGAGCUAAUACCUUAUGUGGUGGUGGAGGUAAAAGCUUCAUCACUAAAGCCGCAAGGCGCUUGGGGAGGAGCUUGUGUCCGAUUAGCUAGUUGGUAGGGUAAUGGCUUACCAAGGCGAUGAUCGGUAGCUGGUCUGAGAGGAUGAUCAGCCACACUGGGACUGAGAUACGGCCCAGACUCCUACGGGAGGCAGCAGCAAGGGAUAUUGGGCAAUGGGCGAAAGCCUGACCCAGCGACGCCGUGUGGGGGAUGAAGGCCUUCGGGUUGUAAACCCCUUUUCUCAGGGAAGAAUAAUGACGGUACCUGAGGAAUAAGUCUCGGCUAACUACGUGCCAGCAGCCGCGGUAAGACGUANGANGCAAGCGUUAUCCGGAUUUACUGGGCGUAAAGGGGGUGUAGGCGGCUUUUCNAGUCGGANGUGAAAUCUCCCUGCUUAACGGGGAGGGGUCAUUCGAUACUGUUAAGCUUGAGGACAGCAGAGGGAGGUGGAAUUCCCGGUGUAGUGGUGAAAUGCGUAGAUAUCGGGAGGAACACCAGUGGCGAAGGCGGCCUCCUGGGCUGUUCCUGACGCUGAGGCCCGAAAGCGCGGGGAGCGAACAGGAUUANAUACCCUGGUAGUCCGCGCAGUAAACGAUGGACACUAGGUAUAGUGAGUAUCGACCCUCUCUGUGCCGAAGCUAACGCGUUAAGUGUCCCGCCUGGGGAGUACGGCCGCAAGGCUAAAACUCAAAGGAAUUGACGGGGGCCCGCACAAGCAGCGGAGCGUGUGGUUUAAUUCGAUGCAACGCGAAGAACCUUACCAAGGCUUGACAUGUCGGAAGUAGUAACCCGAAAGGGAAACCACCUGUAAAGUCAGGAGCCGUCACAGGUGCUGCAUGGUUGUCGUCAGCUCGUGCCGUGAGGUGUUGGGUUAAGUCCUGUAACGAGCGCAACCCCCGUUGUCAGUUGCUUUUCUGGCAAGACUGCCCUGAAAACAGGGAGGAAGGUGGGGAUGACGUCNAAUCANCAUGGCCCUUAUGCCUUGGGCUACACACACGCUACNNUGGGUGGUAUAAUGGGUANCAANAGAGCAAUCUGGAGCCNAUCCUAAAAACCAUCCUCNNUUCGNAUUGCNGGCUGAAAUUNNNCUGCAUGAANUUGGANUUNCUAGUANCC